rnacentral:tRNA from 1 species
GGAGCGGUCGUCCAGCGGUCGAGGACACCAGCUUGGAAAGCUGGCGGGCGCACGCCUGCGAGGGUUCGAAUCCCUCCCGCUCCGC